AUUGAACGCUGGCGGCAGGCCUAACACAUGCAAGUCGAGCGGAUGAGUGGAGCUUGCUCCAUGAUUCAGCGGCGGACGGGUGAGUAAUGCCUAGGAAUCUGCCUGGUAGUGGGGGACAACGUUUCGAAAGGAACGCUAAUACCGCAUACGUCCUACGGGAGAAAGUGGGGGAUCUUCGGACCUCACGCUAUCAGAUGAGCCUAGGUCGGAUUAGCUAGUUGGUGAGGUAAAGGCUCACCAAGGCGACGAUCCGUAACUGGUCUGAGAGGAUGAUAAGUCACACUGGAACUGAGACCCGGUCCAGACUCCUACGGGAGGCAGCAGUGGGGAAUAUUGGACAAUGGGCGAAAGCCUGAUCCAGCCAUGCCGCGUGUGUGAAGAAGGUCUUCGGAUUGUAAAGCACUUUAAGUUGGGAGGAAGGGCAGUAAGUUAAUACCUUGCUGUUUUGACGUUACCAACAGAAUAAGCACCGGCUAACUUCGUGCCAGCCGCCGCCGUAAUAC
rnacentral:rRNA from 1 species